rnacentral:rRNA from 1 species
ACCCCUCAACUCUGCAGCAUUGCGUCUGAGUAACAAAUUGAAUUAAAUCAAAACUUUCGACAACGGAUCUCUUGGUUCUGGCAUCGAUGAAGAACGCAUCGAAAUGCGAUAAGUAAUGUGAAUUGCAGAAUUCAGUGAAUCAUCGAAUCUUUGAACGCACAUUGCGCCCCCUGGUAUUCCGGGGGGCAUGCCUGUUCGAGCGUCAUUACACCACUCAAGCCUCGCUUGGUAUUGGGCGUCGCGGCCUCCGCGCGCCUUAAUGUCUCCGGCCGAGCCUACCGACUCUAAGCGUUGUGGAAUAACAUUUUCGCUUGUGGGAUUGGGGGGCCUUGCGCCGUUAAACAUCUUAACCAAAGGUUGACCUCGGAUCACGUAGGGAUACCCGCUGAACUUAAGCUUACCAAUAACCGGAGCA